rnacentral:rRNA from 1 species
GAUGAACGCUGGCGGCGUGCCUAACACAUGCAAGUCGAACGGAGUCGUUUUGGAAAUCUCUUCGGAGAUGGAAUUCUCGACUUAGUGGCGGACGGGUGAGUAACGCGUGAGCAAUCUGCCUUUAAGAGGGGGAUAACAGUCGGAAACGGCUGCUAAUACCGCAUAAAGCAUUAAAUUCGCAUGUUUUUGAUGCCAAAGGAGCAAUCCGCUUUUAGAUGAGCUCGCGUCUGAUUAGCUAGUUGGCGGGGUAACGGCCCACCAAGGCGACGAUCAGUAGCCGGACUGAGAGGUUGAACGGCCACAUUGGGACUGAGACACGGCCCAGACUCCUACGGGAGGAAGCAGUGGGGAAUAUUGCGCAAUGGGGGAAACCCUGACGCAGCAACGCCGCGUGAUUGAAGAAGGCCUUCGGGUUGUAAAGAUCUUUAAUCAGGGACGAAACAAAUGACGGUACCUGAAGAAUAAGCUCCGGCUAACUACGUG